UCUGAUAGGAACUUCCCUGUGACUUUUGGUUUGUGCUUCACAAACAAAUUCUGCUGUUAAUAUGUGAAUCUGUUUGAAAAGCGAAGGCGAGAGACCCCACACUGGAGUUGCUUCUAAUUUGCAGUCGGCUGCUCAGGACUCAUCACAGAAGUUAAGUGGGAAUACAUCACCAUCAGCUGUUGUAUGGCCUCCAUCUUGUGUGUGGCUCGGCCAAAACCACAAAGUAAAUACUUCACCCGAGCCACACUGUAGAUGGAACUGACUGGAAUUGCUUUGCCUGGCUAUAAUGUUUAUUUUAUUAAUUGGGUUUGUUGCCACAGCUUCAACAUGACAGGAAUUUUCCUGAUAUACUUCUCCAAUUGCAAGACAAGAUUGUGUUUGUUUGUUUGUGUAUUGGAAGAUAAACAAAUAAAAGUCACUUAAACAACA